UAUAAAUCAUAUAUAUGAAAGUUGGCCAACUCUUUCCAUAUUAAUGACACAUCAUCACACAAGAAAAUGACAUGUGUCAUUCGAUAUUUUUUAAACUAAAAAUU
rnacentral:sRNA from 1 species